rnacentral:rRNA from 1 species
UACAGAGGUCUCAAGCGUUGUUCGGGAUUAUUGGGCGUAAAGGGUGCGUAGGCGGUUUGGUAAGUCUUAUGUGAAAUCUACAGGCUCAACUUGUAGUCUGCAUGAGAAACUGCCGGGCUUGAGUAUGGGAGAGGUGAGUGGAAUUCCUGGUGUAGCGGUGAAAUGCGUAGAUAUCAGGAGGAACACCUGUGGCGAAAGCGGCUCACUGGACCAUAACUGACGCUGAUGCACGAAAGCUAGGGGAGCAAACAGG